UCUCGUCGAGAAAACAAACUUGCCCGCACCCCCCAUUGCCCCAAGCUCCCCGCUGGCGCUGUAGGAUUCGCGAAAGCGCGAGCACGUUGCGGGAAAGCGAACUCUAUCGAAGCGCCCACCUGCAUGCUGCAGGUUCGCCGUAGGCCGCGUAGCCCGCCUCCCCUCCCUCCACAGGCAAACACCCCCGCGUCACCCUCCAAACCCUAACCCUAGACAAAAUCUCCUCCCCCGGCGCCUGUUCGGCUCCCGGCGUUUCACGCGAUGGGAAGGAGGAAGGAGCGCCGCCUGGCGGCCAAGGCGGCAUCGGGCCGCAGGGUCAAGCUCGAUCUCUUCCUCGAUGCCUCCCCCGGGGAUGCGUCUUCGAAAGAGGGAGUAGGAGGAGAAAACCGUGAGCAGCAAAGUGGUGUUCCCACUUCACCAUCUUCCUCAGAUAAGAAGGAAAAUCCUCUGGCAUUGCUUGGGCAAUAUAGUGAUGAUGAAGAAGAGGAUGACGGUGCAGGAGCUCAACCCAAUGGUGAAGCUAACGGGAGUCCAACAAACGCGAGUGUUGAGGUUACUCACGAGCGUGAUAACACAGCUGGCGAUAAUGACGUUGUACAUAGUGAACCGCCUGCUUCUGAUAGUGGUCAGCAAGUGGCACCUCAAGCUGAUGGUGUCAAUAAUUUCACAGAGAAUGUUGCCGAGCAAAUCACUGCCGCCCCUGAGCCAACUCCAGAAAAUGGGUGUGUAACAGAAACAGAAGCUAUUCCAGAUUCAUCUGGCAUGCAAAUUGUUGGUGACAUUGGUGGGAACUGGAAAACUGUAAUGCAUGAACAGAGUAACCAGUGUUACUACUGGAACACAGUUACUGGAGAAACUUCAUGGGAGAUUCCUAAUGGAUUAGCUCCAGGAGUUGUAGCUGAUGGAGUCACUUCUGCAUCUAUACCUACCCAUGUUGAGUACUCAAUAGAAGCUCAAGCACAUGUCCCCCACAGCAAUGUGGAGGCAUAUCCAAGUGAUGUGUCUAUUGGAAAUGGCACAUCAGCUUAUACUGCCAUGGGAAUGGUGUGUGCAAGGGGGCAGCUUACUCAGAAUGCUUAUGCUUAUACUGGAGCUGUUGCUAGUCAUGAGUCAAUGGACAUUGAUCCCUUGCGGCUUGCAAAAUAUGGCGAGGAUUUGCUGCAAAGAUUGAAGCUGCUGGAAAGGCCACAUGGUGCCAUUGACAGUCUUGAAUUGAUAAAGAGAGAAAUUGAGAUACGAGUAUCAGACUGCAAUGUGCUGUCCUCGUAUGGUUCUUCUUUACUUCCAUUGUGGUUGCAUGCUGAGGUGCACCUUAAGCAACUGGAAUUUUCAGUUUCCAAGUUUGAAGCUAGCUACACAGCCUACACUCAUCCAGAAACAGAGCAUGCGGAAUACAAAGCACCUAAUGAAGCUGAAAUUUUGGCACCCUCUGAUGCCGAGGGUUUGAAGUUUGAGGUUAUCACUGUGGUUCCAAUGGAUGAAAAUCUUAAGGUCGAGGAGCCAUGUUCAACAGCGUCUGUACAGAACUCAGAAGAAAAAGAUGCUGCAGCAGUUACGUCAAGAGUUGAACCAGACUGUGAUGAAGAUAUGGAUGUGGAAAUGGAGGUUGAUGAAGAAAAUGUUGAAGAUCAGGGUUGUUCCAGUUCUAUGCCUAAUGAGGAGCAUCAUUCAUCAGAGCAAGUACGCUCACCAACUUUGCCAUCAUUGGAGAAAUCUGCUCCUCCUCCAGAGGAUAAUGACAUUCCUCCACCACCACCGCCAGAAGAGGAAUGGAUUCCACCUCCUCCACCUGAGAAUGAACCAGCUCCUCCACCUCCUCCUGAACCUGAAGAGACCACCGUAGUGUCAUAUGUUCACACUGAUACACUUACCCAGUCAUAUGUAGAUCAAGCAAACUUUGGUUAUGCGCUUCCAGGAAUGGAGUACUAUCCUGCUGCAGGUACAGAUGGGACAAAUGCCAACUACUAUAUGCAAGCAAGUGAUUCUCACAUUCUGCAAUCGCAGCAGCAUUCUUAUUACGCACCAGUGUCUGCAGGUGGCAUAUCUAUUCCUGUUGAUGCCGCAUCUAUUCCCCCAGUACCUGGUUCUUACUAUAGCUAUCCUUCAGUCACCAUGGAUGCCAGUGGAGUAGCAGCUGAAUCUUCUGGAUACUACGCUUCAUCAACCUCUACCAUUUCUAGUAGUGCACUAGAUAACAAAACAACAUCAGCUCCCAUUGAUGCUACAAAUAGUGAUGUGAAUCCCAUAGAAUCUGAUAAAGUUAUAUCCAAGGAAGCCAAAAUUGCAUCUUUGAGCCAAGCAGUUGGAGCAACAUCAGCUUCAGGAACCGUACGUGGAAGUUCUACACAAGCUUCCACCAGUACCACUAAUCAGACUAAAGUUCAUCGUACUAAGAAGCGACCUGUUGCUGUUGCAUCAUCACUGAGGUCUAAUAAGAAGGUAUCGAGUCUGGUGGAUAAGGCAGAGCAAUCUGUUUACAUGGUAGUGCUUGAGCAGAGGUGAGUGGUGAUGUAUGAUAAUUGUUUCCCAGUCAAUUUCACUUCGCUAAAGCAACUUUUUGUUGUUGUAAACAGUGGAAAGCUGCCAAAGAGGAGCUGCGUGAUGAAGAGGAAGAGGAACCUGAAGAUGCUUUGGAGGCACUUGAAAAAAAACGCCGGAAGGAAAUAGAUGGGUGGCGGAAACAACAAAUAGCUAGCGGAGAAGCUAAGGAAAAUGCCAACUUUGUUCCCCUUGGUGGCGACUGGCGUGACCGUGUGAAACGCAGAAGAGCUGAAGCCAAGAAGGAAUCUAAGUCCGAAUUUAUUCAAGCAGUUCCGGAACAGCACAAAGGACAGCCUGAUCUUGUAGAGCUUUCCAAGGGUCUCCCUUCUGGGUGGCAGGCAUACAUAGACGAGUCUACGAAGCAAGUUUACUAUGGGAACAACCUCACAUCUGAGACGACUUGGGACCGGCCUACCAAAUGAAGAUAGGACUGGUUGAAGACGAUCAAGUUUUGUUGACUUGGGACCGGCCUACCAAAUGAAGAUAGGACUUGUUGAAGACGAUCAAGUUUUGUUUGUAAAUAUCUCCUUGCCUCUUUACUUAACACGACACACUGAUGAUCUUACAAUUGCAUGAAAGUGCUUGCCUACAUGGCAUGUUCUGAGAAGCAAAUCAAUCUCAUGUUAUUUAUUCUGAUCGCAAUGAAUUGUUGUUUCUCUUGUUUUCA